CUCAGUUGCGCCAUGUCAGCUGUUUGGGAUUCCCAUCCAUUCUUAUGUCACCGCGCUUUCUGAUUGGCUACCUGUCACAUUCGACAGGCUGCGUUCUCGCUCCCCACAGGCUGCAGUAAUCAGGCCAAGACAAUGUUGAAUAUGCUCGAUGUUAGAUCGGGCAUAUUCAACAAAAGGCUUUAGCGGGCCGAGAACACCAACAUGAUGCAGAGGCCUUAUCUGACAGUCACUACCCCCUUUCUGCCUCCCCAGUGGGCCACAGCAAAAUUGGCCAAGUCUUGACUGGUCCGCGGUAAUAAAAUGGUUGGGGACCACUGCUUUACGUAAUUAAAG